rnacentral:rRNA from 1 species
CAGCAGCCGCGGGAAUACGUAGGUGGCAAGUGUUGUCCGGAAUUAUUGGGCGUAAAGGGCUCGCAGGCGGUUUCUUAAGUCUGAUGUGAAAGCCCCAGGCUCAACCGGGGAGGGUCAUUGGAAACUGGGAAACUUGAGUGCAGAAGAGGAGAGUGGAUUUCCACGUGUAGCGGUGAAAUGCGUAGAGAUGUGGAGGAACACCAGUGGCGAAGGCGACUCUCUGGUCUGUAACUGACGCUGAGGAGCGAAAGCGUGGGGAGCGAACAGGAUUAGAUACCCGGGUAGUCCCUGUCUCUUAUAA